AGAGUUUGAUCAUGGCUCAGGACGAACGCUGGCGGCGUGCUUAACACAUGCAAGUCGCGCGAUUCUCGAAGUUCGGGGUUGGGAGUUCGAACCUCGAACUUCGAACCUCGAACUUCGAGAAUAGCGGCGGACGGGUGAGUAACACGUGGAUAACCUACCCAUUAGACCGGGAUAACACCGGGAAACUGGUGCUAAUACCGGAUAAGCUCUUUAGAGUAAAAGCCUUAAAGAGGAAAGGGGAAACUCACUAAUGGAUGGGUCCGCGUCCUAUUAGCUAGUUGGUAGGGUAACGGCCUACCAAGGCGACGAUGGGUAGCCGGCCUGAGAGGGUGACCGGCCACACUGGGACUGAGACACGGCCCAGACUCCUACGGGAGGCAGCAGUGGGGAAUAUUCCGCAAUGGGGGAAACCCUGACGGAGCAAUGCCGCGUGAGUGAAGAAGGCCUUUGGGUCGUAAAACUCUGUCUUGAGGGACGAAAAAAAUGACGGUACCUCAAAAGAAAGCCCCGGCUAACUACGUGCCAGCAGCCGCGGUAAAACGUAGGGGGCGAGCGUUGUCCGGAAUUACUGGGCGUAAAGGGCGUGUAGGCGGCCUGUGUAGUCAAGUGGUGAAAACCCGGGGCUUAACUUCGGGAUGGCCCUUGAAACCAACAGGCUUGAGGACAGGAGAGGGGAGUGGAAUUUCCGGUGUAGCGGUGAAAUGCGUAGAU
rnacentral:rRNA from 1 species